AUGAAGUCGUGUUGUGCAUAGUGUUGUUGCUGCGUGAUUUGACGGAGUAACGAAGCGAGGACGAUUCUGUGCUACUAGAGAAAAGUGAACUUCGUGAAUUUAAGGACGAUUUCGUGCUACUGGAGAAGAGUGAAGAUAAACAAACAAAAGAUUUCGUGCUACUGAAGAAGAGUGAAGAUAAGAAAGAUUUAGUGCUAUUGGAGAAGAGUGUAGAUGAAGAUUUCGAACUAUUCAAGGAGUGUAGAUUAAGAUUUAGUACUAUUCAAGGAGUGAAGAUAAUUAAUAUUUCGUACUAUUCAAGGAGGUUCGUGAAAUCCAAAACAGGAAACCAAGAUUGAAACCAAGAUUGAAACCAAGAUUGAAACCAAGAUUGGUAUAUCUCAAUCUUCACAAAAACGGACCUUCCCUACCAAGGCACCUCGGGCGUCUUGAUGUUUGAUACGGUUUAAAUCAACUCGCUUCCGGCUACCCUUGGUCCCUUGGUGUUCUAGGCAACUUUUGACUUAAAAGCCUCUGACCAGCAAAUUUAAGUGGUGGCCUGUGGAUAGUUUGUAUAGGAGAAAUUUGGAUUUAUUGUGGAUGGUUUUUGUAGGAGAAAUUUGGAUCUCUUGUGGAUGGUUUGUGUAGGAGAAAUUUGGAUCUCUUGUGAUGGUUUGUGUAGGAGAAAUUUGGAUCUCUUGUGAAUGGUUUGUGUAGGAGAAAUUUGGAUCUCUUGUGAAUGGCUUGUGUAGGAG